UCGAAAUUGGAUUUCACCGCUCUUUCUGCGCACGCGCGGGGAGCAGUGGUUGCGAGAGAGAAAUGUGGGGACUUUAGGUGCUCAAAAUUUCUCGUCGUUUAGGUACUAUGGGGAAGAAAACCGUUUGCUCCGUUUGUCCCUAGCCGAGCUUGCAGCACAGAAUCGACAGGAUGCGUGGCCGGCAAGGCGAAAAAGCCGCGUCCGAGCUGUCAUCUUCUCGGAAGCAGGCGCUCAUGCUUGGAGACCUGCAGAGCACGAACUGCAGCAUGUAUGCCGAAAUAAACAGCUAUUGCCUAUUUAAAAUAGAACCAAUGUAAGGCAAGGCCCCUUU
rnacentral:lncRNA from 1 species